GGGCCCGCACAAGCAGCGGAGCAUGUGGUUUAAUUCGAAGCAACGCGAAGAACCUUACCAGGACUUGACAUCCCCUGCAUAACUCGUAACGGAGGAAGUCCUUCGGGACAGGGAGACAGGUGGUGCAUGGUUGUCGUCAGCUCGUGUCGUGAGAUGUUGGGUUAAGUCCCGCAACGAGCGCAACCCCUGUUGCUAGUUGCCAUCAUUAAGUUGGGCACUCUAGUGAGACUGCCGGAGACAAUUCGGAGGAAGGUGGGGAUGACGUCAAAUCAUCAUGCCCCUUAUGUUCUGGGCUACACACGUGCUACAAUGGGCGUAACAACGGGAAGCAAGCUGGAGACAGCAAGCAAACCCCUAAAAAGCGCCCUCAGUUCGGAUUGCAGGCUGAAACCCGCCUGCAUGAAGUGGGAGUUGCUAGUAAUCGCGAAUCAGCAUGUCGCGGUGAAUACGUUCCCGGGCCUU
rnacentral:rRNA from 1 species